GAUGAAGAACGCAGCGAAAUGCGAUAAGUAAUGUGAAUUGCAGAAUUCAGUGAAUCAUCGAAUCUUUGAACGCACAUUGCGCCCGCCAGUAUUCUGGCGGGCAUGCCUGUUCGAGCGUCAUUACAACCCUCAGGCCCCCGGGCCUGGCGUUGGGGAUCGGCGGAGCCCCCCGUGGGCACACGCCGUCCCCCAAAUGCAGUGGCGGUCCCGCCGCAGCUUCCAUCGCGUAGUAGCUAACACCUCGCGACUGGAGAGCGGCGCGGCCACGCCGUAAAACUCCCAACUCUUCUGAAGUUGACCUCGAAUCAGGUAGGAAUACCCGCUGAACUUAAGCAUAUCAAUAAGCGGAGGA
rnacentral:misc_RNA from 1 species